GAAAUGCGAUAAGUAAUGUGAAUUGCAGAAUUCAGUGAAUCAUCGAAUCUUUGAACGCACCUUGCGCUCCUUGGUAUUCCUUGGAGCAUGUCUGUUUGAGUAUCAUGAAAUCUUCAAAGUAAAUCUUUUGUUAACUCAAUUGGUUUCUACUUUGGUAUUGGAGGUCUUUGCAGCUUCACACCUGCUCCUCUUUGUUCAUUAGCUGGAUCUCAGUGUUAUGCUUGGUUCUACUCGGCGUGAUAAGUUAUCUAUCGCUGAGGACACUGUAAAAGGUGGCCAAGGUAAAUGCAGAUGAACCGCUUCUAAUAGUCCAUUGACUUGGACAAUACUUUUAUGAUCUGAUCUCAAAUCAGGUAGGACUACCCGCUGAACUUAAGC
rnacentral:misc_RNA from 1 species